CAAAAAAAUAGCUGUAUUUCCCCAUGGGUGGGUUCCGCAAGACUGCUCCCCCUGCUGGUGGCUUUGCGCAACAGCUUUUAUUUACAGUUUCAAUGCGCUCCGUCCAACGCCGCAGCAUUUCACCGCUGUUGAGCAGGUAAUCUGGAAAGCACCCUGGCAUGUUCUUGAGCUCUACCUUCACCCCUUGCCCUCCUGCCCACAAGUCCAGCAGGGGAAGCCCCACCAGUGGGACUAACAAAGAUCGGGUCUCCCCUCCAGAAAGAUAGUGACGGAACGGCAGGUUGGAUCCUCUAGUGCACCUCAGCUGCAGAAAGGUGGCCAGCCUCCGUGCAUGGCACGGAUGGGGCUUUUCCUCCCGCCCCCUGCCCUGGGCAAGGCUUCUAGCAGAGCGGAGGGUGCAGUCCACCCCCCUGCCUGCAGGGGUUUACAUUGAUGGGGAUCUCCUGAGUGUGAAUUGGGGCCAAGAGGCCUCCAAUAAGGCCGGGGGGGGGAACCUCUUGCGAGUUAAAGAUCGGUGGGUUGGGGUCAGUGUUCCCUCUAACAGGGAUUCCCAGAUGGGGGAAAAAGCGUCUCCAGGGUGCUUCCCAGAUUAACUCUUUCUACAGUGUCACUACGGAUCUGCAACAUGUGCCUCCGUAUUGCCUUUGCACCAACACCGUAGUCCCUGUGCUGUCUGCAAGCUGCCGUUCACAUUUCCGAUGCUUCCUUUUGGGUUUUAUGGGUUUCUUUUUAGAGUGUGAGCCCUUUGGGGACAGGGAGCCAUCUUAUUUAUUAGAUCUCUGUGUAAACCACCCUGAGCCAUUUUUGGAAGGGCGGUAUAGAAAUUGAAUGAAUGACAGACAGCCAUGAAGGCACCACUGAGAGACCUUAAAGGCCAAGCUGAAGACAGAGCAUCCUGGAGAGAAUCUAUCUAGGUCAGGUCUGCUCAACUUUGGCCCUAGAGCUGUUUUUAUUUUUAUUGUUUAAUUAUUCAUUUAUUGGAUCACAACUCCCAUAAUCCCCAACCACAGUGGCCCAUAGCCAGUAGGCCAACAUCUGCAGGAGGGCCAAAGUUGAACAGCCCUGAUCUGGGUGGUUGCUAAGAGUUGAUACUGAUUCGACGGCACUUAAUCAAUCAGUCAGUCAUUGGUAUAUUAUUGUAAUUAUUCAAUUGAUUGAUUAAGUGCCGUCAAGUCGGUGUCAACAACAUCGUGCCAGCGUGGUGUAGUGGUUAGAGUGCUGGACUAGGACUGGGGAGACCCGAGUUCAAAUCCUCAUUCAGCCAUGAAACUAGCUGGGGUGACUCUGGGCCAGUCACUUCUUUCUCAGCCUGACCUACUUCACAGGGUUGUUGUGAAAGAGAAACUCAAGCUGUGCUCUGGGCUCCUCCUUGGAGGAAGAGCGGGAUAUAAAUGUAAAAUCAUCAUCAUCAUCAUCUGAGAACCUCUGUUAGAGGGAACACUGAUUAGUCCCUGUAAGGAAGCAGCAAGGAGCAGCAGCCAAGCAAGAUCUCCCUAUAGCGGGCUGUGGGUGCUGUGCUGGGGCUGGAUGCAGUCUGGACUCGCAAUAAUCUCCACUUGCAAAAUUGAUUAUUGAUUAUUUAUUUAAAAUAUUUACACUGCUCCAGACGGCUCACAGUAAUAACAGAUACAAGAUACCUCUUUGCCCAGUUAGCAAAUCAGACAGGCGCACACUGGGAAGAUUGGCCGUAGGCACCACCCGUAGCUACUACGCGCUUCUGGGACACUAGGACCCGCGAGGCACCCGUAGCCUCUGACGUCACCUGUCAUGCCCUUCCUCAGGCCCUGUAAGGGCCCCCACGUCCCGCCACUCACGCGCAUGCCCAGUAGCUCCCGGUAGAAGCGUGCCGUCUGCGCUCGGUCGCCGACUUUGAACACGAAGUGCAGUGCACGCCGGCCCCCCAUGGUUCGCACGGGACUUUCUCCACCCUCGCAAGCCCACGCACUCGCUGGAAAUCAGCGCAGUCUCUCUCGGCGCGCACUUAUGACGACAUCGCCGUGUGCCGCCAGAGCCUUCAGCACCAUAAAGAAUGGCUUCUUUCCAUCCUAGAGCGACGCACUCUGGAACAGGCAUUUCCUUCAGAUGAUGACCUACAACUCCCCUAAUCCCUGGUUAUUGGCCGCUGUGGCUGGGGAUUUCGGGAGUUGUAGUCCAAAAACAGCUGGGGUGGGUGGGCUAAAUUGCACCGGCCUGAACUGUAAUGACACGCCUCCAGCGGUCGCUUAGCAACCAAAGAACAAGCCGGGCGUGCCGGCGACGUCCCCCGGGCGUGACGCUAGUCUCCCUCAGCCAAUAGCACCGCUGUACUCUUGUCUCUCUGGUCGGCACGCAGGGCCGUUGCUAUGAGCAACGGUGGGAGCUGCGCGGCUUCGACGGAAGUCCGGCCCGUCUCGUGCCGGUAGCCAAGAUGGCGGCAUGGUCUCCGCGGCAGCUGAGGCCUUCCUGCCCGGGGGCGCCGGCAGGCGGGGGGUGCGCGCCCCGCGGAGGAGCCCCGUCCGCGCCCCUCCCUCGCUGGCCGAGCCUGCCCCCUCGCCACCUCUCCCCGCGCUGACGAGAGGCUUCUCCGGAGCAGAAACCUGCGAAAGAAGACCAAGAACAUGAUUGCUUGCAAGCUGUGGACUGCAUCUAUGCCAAGCCGUCCUGACCUUAAAGAUGAACCUCUCCAAAAUGCAGACAUUGAUCUGUACACAGAUGGAGGCAGCUUCAUGUAAGAUGGACAAUGUAAGCUGGCUACAGAGUAGUGACUGACCAUGAAGUUCUGGUGGUGAAAUCUCUUUCUCCAGGUAUCUCAGCAGAGCUUGCAGAGCUCAUCACCUUCAAGGUAAUUUUUACACAACACAUGGGGCCACUUGGAAAGGAAGAAGAUUUUUAACAGUGGGAAACAAGGAAGUAAAGUAUGGGGCACAGAUAUCAGAACUCUAGACUGCUGUUACACUACUAGAAGAGGUUGCAGUCAUCCAUAGCAGAGGCCACCAGAGGGAAAUGACCCAGUGACAAAGGGUAAUUGGAUGGCAGAUGCUGCAGCUAAAACCGCUGCUCCCUCUAUUCCUGUUUCCAUGCCUCUUUGAUUCCUGUGCUCACUAUCUUGGCACAACCCCCCACAUAUUCAGAAAAAGGACAUUGACUUUGCACCACAGCAGGGGGCGCAUUUAGAAGAGGAUGGCUGGUGAAGAACAGCAGGUGGAUCUGGAAUUCUUCCAGAACCAAUCCUUAGGUUUUUCCUUGUCAAUACAAAGACACUUUUGUGCCUCUUGGAUGUACCCUUUUGCAGAACAUGUGGCAACCGCCUGUGUAAUUUGUGUAGUAAACAAUCCUACUUUACCAAGGUAUAGUAUCUCACUGGACAUGCCAAGUCAGGUAACGCCCAAGCUGUGGGUUGACAGAGGGCAGGGAUUGACUUGUCCUGUGUGGGCUAUCUUUUUCCUUGUCUGGAAAGGUUGUUUUCACUUUACAGAAAUGUCAAACCUAAACUUGUAUCCAUCAGUGACUUGUUAAUUAUCGUGUUUCCCCCAAAAUAAGACAGUGUCUUAUAUUAAUUUUAGCUCAAAAAAAUGCACUAGGGCAAUUAGCGGUACAUCAGAAAUUACUGCUAGGUCUUACUUUCGGGGAAACAGGGUAUGAGGCUGAAGACGGAGAGCUGGAACAUUAUUUGCACGUGGCUUAGAUGGGGAUGGUGAAGAUCCCCAAGGCUAGAUGUUACUGACGGAUCAUCCUUUUAUGGAGAAUCAAGUCAGGUACACUGGACGGAGAUCGAAUGCCCUGACAGAAGUCCGUGAGUAUGUUGGCAGCCAACACAGUGUACUGGUUAGAGUGUUGAACUGGAACCGGGGAGACCCGGGUUCAGGUCCUCAUUCGACCAAGACACUUGCAGUCACUUCUCUCACAACCUGGCCUGGCCUGCCUCAAAGGGUUGUCAUGAGGCUACAUGGAAACCAGACUUUGUCAGCAGUCACCCACUUGUGUUGCCAGGGACCUGAUCCCAGGACGCUAUCCCUACCCAGGGGAGGGUAUUGUUGGUAACUCACUUGCCUAUCUUUCUCCCAAGUAAGCAGGUGUGCAACCAACUGUGUCUUGAACUAUCUUUCCAAGAAGGACUGGUCUUCUCCAGAUCUGUAUGUGACCUGGAACAAUGGUCAAGUGCGAGGGAAGGAGUACCUGGUCCUGGAUUCUUCCAUCCAAUUGUCAAGGAAGUCCCCAGAGGACAACUCUGACCUGGAGCAGGCUGGGAUGCCCGCCGUCAACAGCAGUUGCCUGAGGAGGGUCCCCGUUUGCGUUUCCAGUCUAGGCCAAUGGUGAUGGAACGUCCAUCGGCAGCCCUGUCCUGUGUUCAAGGAAGAGGCCCUGAUGCAAGUUUCCUGUUCCUGCUCCUCCUGCGUCCCAGAGUGCUGUGGGUGAAGAUUUGACGCCAGAUACCUGAGGAGUGCCUGAUGGCUAACAUGCUACCCAAAUAUCCAACUGCCCCUGGAUUAUUUGCUAUCUCAAGAAGCUACUAAGGGGGGUGGGAGUUGAUUUGUUGAUUUGCUCCACUUCCUUGUGGUGACGAUGUGCUGCUAUUAUUGCGGAACUCAGACUGGUGGGUACUGUGGGGGAGAUCAGAAGAUGCCUACAUCCUGUGCCAAUCAUCUUACUGUCCUACCCAAGGCACCUUACCCAAGUCUGCACCUUUCUCCAACUUGAAAGUUCUUUUGUGCCCUACGGACAUUAUUUGAGACUUCUUAGGCCUGUUCUGGAUGUGAGAAAACUGGCUAGCUAAAGUUAAUUUCCUGAGCACCUAUAUACUUGUUAUCUGAUGUGACUGUAAGUAUACCUGAUUCCAAAAUGAUACUCUUUAUCAUUGCCAUUGCUUUCCAUGAGCUAAUAAUCCAUUAAUCACCGGAGGCCCUUGGCUCCAUUAAGCUCUCUGCACAAUCAUUCCUGGAAUUGGAAUGUCAGACACAGAAAGGAAUGUGGCAGGUAUUUCUGGUGAAAUGGAAUUGGCUUGGAACGCGGCUGUACAUGCUAUUGAUGUUGUGUAUGCAUUCUCGACAAUUUUGGGACUGAUUAUGAUUGAAAAAAUGUAUGAUAGUUUUGA